rnacentral:rRNA from 1 species
GUGAACGCUGGCGGUAGGCCUAACACAUGCAAGUCGAACGGCAGCACAGUAAGAGCUUGCUCUUACGGGUGGCGAGUGGCGGACGGGUGAGGAAUACAUCGGAAUCUACUUUUUCGUGGGGGAAACCGUAGGGAAACUUACGCUAAUACCGCAUACGACCUACGGGUGAAAGAAGGGGAUCUUCGGACCUUGUGCGAUGAAAUGAGCCGAGGUCGGAUUAGCUAGUUGGCGGGGUAAAGGCCCACCAAGGCGACGAUCCGUAGCUGGUCUGAGAGGAUGAUCAGCCACACUGGAACUGAGACACGGUCCAGACUCCUACGGGAGGCAGCAGUGGGGAAUAUUGGACAAUGGGCGCAAGCCUGAUCCAGCCAUACCGCGUGGGUGAAGAAGGCCUUCGGGUUGUAAAGCCCUUUUGUUGGGAAAGAAAAGCAGCAGGUUAAUACCCCGCUGUUCUGACGGUACCCAAAGAAUAAGCACCGGCUAACUUCGUG